rnacentral:lncRNA from 1 species
UCUUCUACAACGGUGUUAUAAUGGUCAGUGAUGUAAUUUUUGAAGUUGUAUCAAUCAAAGAUGAAAUCAUUAUCAGUUUCCAGUGUAGGGGUGAAGGUUUUACCUGUGGGUCGAAGCCAAGUAAUAGCUGCUACGUCGAACAAAGUCGGUGUAACUAUCCCACAGGGAAGAUGGAAUGUGUUCGUCGAACCUUCCCAAAAGAAGAUCUAAACAAGCA